UGGGGAAUUUUGGACAAUGGGCGAAAGCCUGAUCCAGCAAUGCCGCGUGUGUGAAGAAGGCCUUCGGGUUGUAAAGCACUUUUGUCCGGAAAGAAAUCCUUGGCUCUAAUACAGUCGGGGGAUGACGGUACCGGAAGAAUAAGCACCGGCUAACUACGUGCCAGCAGCCGCGGUAAUACGUAGGGUGCAAGCGCUAAUCGGAAUUACUGGGCGUAAAGCGUGCGCAGGCGGUUUGCUAAGACCGAUGUGAAAUCCCCGGGCUCAACCUGGGAACUGCAUUGGUGACUGGCAGGCUAGAGUAUGGCAGAGGGGGGUAGAAUUCCACGUGUAGCAGUGAAAUGCGUAGAGAUGUGGAGGAAUACCGAUGGCGAAGGCAGCCCCCUGGGCCAAUACUGACGCUCAUGCACGAAAGCGUGGGGAGCAAACAGGAUUAGAUACCCUGGUAGUCCACGCCCUAAACGAUGUCAACUAGUUGUUGGGGAUUCAUUUCCUUAGUAACGUAGCUAACGCGUGAAGUUGACCGCCUGGGGAGUACGGUCGCAAGAUUAAAACUCAAAUGAAUUGACGGGGUCAUA
rnacentral:rRNA from 1 species